AGAAGAUCCAGUUUUCAAAUCGAGGUGAACUUUUUUCCAAAGUCUGCACUCUUAUUUAUGGAUAUAGUGUAGACAUCCUGGAUCAGAACUUACAGACUGGAUGACAUUUAUCAGACGGAGAAGAUGUGAUUUUUUUUAAUGAGGAGGAAAAAAGACUUCAAGAAAGAUUAUUACUUGAUGAAGUGCACAGAAACAUCUUGCUUCAAAUACUGAUGCAGAUAUCUUUUAAGAAAAAGAGAGAAGAAAUUGGUCAUUGUAGG
rnacentral:lncRNA from 13 species